UUAAAGGCUUUGAAUGUGCAAAGUAGUUAUAGAUUAUUCAUUUAGAGAGAAGAUGUCCCCGGCUGAAAGCAUCUUUAUGUUACGGUUUAUGAUGAAUUUCACACAGGAGCUUCACUGUUGAAGUUUUUAGUAGGCGGUGACGGAUUGGCAGCCGUUAUUUGCAAAUUAAGUGUUUAUGUGUAGUUCACAUGAAAAUCAGGGUGGUACCGCGGCAGAAGCCGUCCCUGAC
rnacentral:ncRNA from 1 species